AAAAGGAGGGGGGAACAUUUGAUAAAAACUGGGCAGAGGAUGGCAGAGUGUGACACACAGUCGUGGGAGGCCUGCAGGAGAUAGCGGGAACAAAGUCCAGGUGAGGAAGAGCUUGAGCAGAGAGAGAGGCCAAAGAAUGAGGUGACUUUAGGAAACGUUUGGUGUUUGCAGGGUGUGGGCUGGAAACAGUGCUUGGGCGAGUCUUGGCCCUCCUGACUGGAAAGUGGGAUCUUUCUGGGGGAUAGGCUGAUGAGCCCAAGUUUCCAAUAAGGUGAAGGUGCUUCUGAAGACCCAUGAGAUGUAGAGUCUGACUUCUCUGAUUUGGUGGCCGUUGCAGAUUGAAGAAGACUGCUGAUAGGCAUGGUGCCUGCGAACCCCUUUUUGAGUUCACUGUCUUUCUCACCAUUUCUGAAGGCCAUGGGAAUUCGUGGAAGGGAAUCUGACAAGCACUCUCAAAUACAGAUUUCUGAAAAUGUUCCGAUCAUACAACUGAACUGCUUUAAAUGCGUGUUCCCAGCUGCUGACCACCCAGCAUGUGAUCUCCUGAAGACUGGACUGUCAGAAAAACAAUGAAGAGGACAAUGAGCUUAAAAAUUAUGAACUUUGGGACACCUGUUGACUCAGUCGGUGGACUGCACAGAGCUUUUUUCUGUUUGCUAGGUGGGAUGCUGUUGGAUUCAUGAACUGUUCAUAAAGCCAAUUUGAUUUUUUAAAUUACUCAGUGAAAUUUUUAUUAACGUCGCCAGUCCACAGUUGAGGAAAAGGAAACUGUCAGAGAAAUAAAAUAAGUUGCCGAAAAUCACCCAGACCAAAGUUGGCAGCAUCUCGCCCUAGGGCAAGGAACAAGAGGUUGGGUCAGCAUCUUGCCAGGCUUCCCAGAACCCGCUGGGACUCCCCAGAACCUCUCCAAACCUCAAAGGACCUGCUAGUUUCCAGGCCACCCCAAAUGAUCCCUGCCCUGCCCCCUUUCUUGGUUCCUUAGAGAGCAACUCUGCGGAGAAAAGGUGGCAAAAGGUGGGGCGCAG